rnacentral:rRNA from 1 species
UACGGAGGGGGCUAGCGUUGUUCGGAAUUACUGGGCGUAAAGCGCACGUAGGCGGCUUUGCAAGUCAGAGGUGAAAGCCCGGGGCUCAACCCCGGAAUUGCCUUUGAGACUGCAUCGCUAGAAUUGUGGAGAGGUAAGUGGAAUUCCGAGUGUAGAGGUGAAAUUCGUAGAUAUUCGGAAGAACACCAGUGGCGAAGGCGGCUCACUGGAUCGGUACUGACGCUGAGGUGCGAAAGCUAGGGUAGCGAACGGG